rnacentral:rRNA from 1 species
AUUGAACGCUGGCGGCAGGCUUAACACAUGCAAGUCGAGCGGGGAUUGGGUGCUUGCACCUAAUCUUAGCGGCGGACGGGUGAGUAAUGCUUAGGAAUCUGCCAUUUAGUGGGGGACAACAUUCCGAAAGGGAUGCUAAUACCGCAUACGCCCUACGGGGGAAAGCAGGGGAUCUUCGGACCUUGCGCUAAAUGAUGAGCCUAAGUCGGAUUAGCUAGUUGGUGGGGUAAAGGCCUACCAAGGCGACGAUCUGUAGCGGGUCUGAGAGGAUGAUCCGCCACACUGGGACUGAGACACGGCCCAGACUCCUACGGGAGGCAGCAGUGGGGAAUAUUGGACAAUGGGCGGAAGCCUGAUCCAGCCAUGCCGCGUGUGUGAAGAAGGCCUUUUGGUUGUAAAGCACUUUAAGCGAGGAGGAGGCUACCUGGAUUAAUACUCUAGGAUAGUGGACGUUACUCGCAGAAUAAGCACCGGCUAACUCUGUGCCAGCAGCCGCGGUAAUACAGAGGGUGCGAGCGUUAAUCGGAUUUACUGGGCGUAAAGCGUGCGUAGGCGGCUGAUUAAGUCGGAUGUGAAAUCCCUGAGCUUAACUUAGGAAUUGCAUUCGAUACUGGUCAGCUAGAGUAUGGGAGAGGAUGGUAGAAUUCCAGGUGUAGCGGUGAAAUGCGUAGAGAUCUGGAGGAAUACCGAUGGCGAAGGCAGCCAUCUGGCCUAAUACUGACGCUGAGGUACGAAAGCAUGGGGAGCAAACAGGAUUAGAUACCCUGGUAGUCCAUGCCGUAAACGAUGUCUACUAGCCGUUGGGGCCUUUGAGGCUUUAGUGGCGCAGCUAACGCGAUAAGUAGACCGCCUGGGGAGUACGGUCGCAAGACUAAAACUCAAAUGAAUUGACGGGGGCCCGCACAAGCGGUGGAGCAUGUGGUUUAAUUCGAUGCAACGCGAAGAACCUUACCUGGUCUUGACAUAGUAAGAACUUUCCAGAGAUGGAUUGGUGC